rnacentral:rRNA from 1 species
CUACGGGUUGCUGCAGUGAGGAAUAUUGCACAAUGGAGGAAACUCUGAUGCAGCAACGCCGCGUGGAGGAUGACGCAUUUCGGUGUGUAAACUCCUUUUAUAUGUCAAGAAAAUGGCGGUAGCAUAUGAAUAAGCACCGGCUAACUCCGUGCCAGCAGCCGCGGUAAUACGGAGGGUGCAAGCGUUACUCGGAAUCACUGGGCGUAAAGGACGCGUAGGCGGGAUAUCAAGUCAGGUGUGAAAUCCUACAGCUUAACUGUAGAACUGCACUUGAAACUGCUAAUCUAGAGUAUGGGAGGGGGAGAUGGAAUUAGUGGUGUAGGGGUAAAAUCCGUAGAUAUCACUAGGAAUACCUAAAGCGAAGGCGAUCUCCUGGAACAUUACUGACGCUAAGGCGUGAAAGCGUGGGGAGCAAACAGGAUUAGAUACCCGGGUAGUC